rnacentral:tRNA from 1 species
GCCUCUGUAGCUCAGUGGCAGAGCGCCACCUUGGUAAGGUGGAGGUCGCGAGUUCAAUCCUCGCCAGAGGCU